rnacentral:piRNA from 1 species
UAGAACAGUUCCUUGAUGUAAAAGGCUGGC